rnacentral:rRNA from 1 species
UACGGGGGGGGGCAAGCGUUGUUCGGAAUUACUGGGCGUAAAGGGCUCGUAGGCGGCCAACUAAGUCGGACGUGAAAUCCCUCGGCUUAACCGGGGAACUGCGUCCGAUACUGGAUGGCUUGAGUUCGGGAGAGGGAUGCGGAAUUCCAGGUGUAGCGGUGAAAUGCGUAGAGAUCCGGAAGAACACCGGUGGCGAAGGCGGCUCGCUGGGCAGUGGCUGACGCUGAGGCGCGACAGCGUGGGGAGCAAACAGG